rnacentral:rRNA from 1 species
AGGACGAACGCUGGCGGCGUGCUUAACACAUGCAAGUCGAGCGGAAAGGCCCUUCGGGGUACUCGAGCGGCGAACGGGUGAGUAACACGUGAGUAAUCUGCCCCUAGCUCUGGGAUAGCUCCGGGAAACCGGGAUUAAUACCAGAUACGACCACUUUAGACAUCUGUUGUGGUGGAAAGAAUUUCGGCUAGGGAUGAGCUCGCGGCCUAUCAGCUUGUUGGUGAGGUAACGGCUCACCAAGGCGACGACGGGUAGCCGGCCUGAGAGGGCGACCGGCCACACUGGGACUGAGACACGGCCCAGACUCCUACGGGAGGCAGCAGUGGGGAAUAUUGCGCAAUGGGCGAAAGCCUGACGCAGCGACGCCGCGUGGGGGAUGAAGGCCUUCGGGUUGUAAACCCCUUUCAGCAGGGACGAAGCGAAAGUGACGGUACCUGCAGAAGAAGCGCGGCUAACUACGCGCCAGCAGCCGC